AGAGUUUGAUCAUGGCUCAGAUUGAACGCUGGCGGCAGGCCUAACACAUGCAAGUCGAACGGUAACAGGAAGCAGCUUGCUGCUUCGCUGACGAGUGGCGGACGGGUGAGUAAUGUCUGGGAAGCUGCCUGAUGGAGGGGGAUAACUACUGGAAACGGUAGCUAAUACCGCAUAAUGUCGCAAGACCAAAGAGGGGGACCUUCGGGCCUCUUGCCAUCGGAUGUGCCCAGAUGGGAUUAGCUUGUUGGUGGGGUAACGGCUCACCAAGGCGACGAUCCCUAGCUGGUCUGAGAGGAUGACCAGCCACACUGGAACUGAGACACGGUCCAGACUCCUACGGGAGGCAGCAGUGGGGAAUAUUGCACAAUGGGCGCAAGCCUGAUGCAGCCAUGCCGCGUGUAUGAAGAAGGCCUUCGGGUUGUAAAGUACUUUCAGCGGGGAGGAAGGGAGUAAAGUUAAUACCUUUGCUCAUUGACGUUACCCGCAGAAGAAGCACCGGCUAACUCCGUGCCAGCAGCCGCGGUAAUACGGAGGGUGCAAGCGUUAAUCGGAAUUACUGGGCGUAAAGCGCACGCAGGCGGUUUGUUAAGUCAGAUGUGAAAUCCCCGGGCUCAACCUGGGAACUGCAUCUGAUACUGGCAAGCUUGAGUCUCGUAGAGGGGGGUAGAAUUCCAGGUGUAGCGGUGAAAUGCGUAGAGAUCUGGAGGAAUACCGGUGGCGAAGGCGGCCCCCUGGACGAAGACUGACGCUCAGGUGCGAAAGCGUGGGGAGCAAACAGGAUUAGAUACCCUGGUAGUCCACGCCGUAAACGAUGUCGACUUGGAGGUUGUGCCCUUGAGGCGUGGCUUCCGGAGCUAACGCGUUAAGUCGACCGCCUGGGGAGUACGGCCGCAAGGUUAAAACUCAAAUGAAUUGACGGGGGCCCGCACAAGCGGUGGAGCAUGUGGUUUAAUUCGAUGCAACGCGAAGAACCCUACCUGGUCUUGACAUCCACGGAAGUUUUCAGAGAUGAGAAUGUGCCUUCGGGAACCGUGAGACAGGUGCUGCAUGGCUGUCGUCAGCUCGUGUUGUGAAAUGUUGGGUUAAGUCCCGCAACGAGCGCAACCCUUAUCCUUUGUUGCCAGCGGUCCGGCCGGGAACUCAAAGGAGACUGCCAGUGAUAAACUGGAGGAAGGUGGGGAUGACGUCAAGUCAUCAUGGCCCUUACGACCAGGGCUACACACGUGCUACAAUGGCGCAUACAAAGAGAAGCGACCUCGCGAGAGCAAGCGGACCUCAUAAAGUGCGUCGUAGUCCGGAUUGGAGUCUGCAACUCGACUCCAUGAGGUCGGAAUCGCUAGUAAUCGUGGAUCAGAAUGCCACGGUGAAUACGUUCCCGGGCCUUGUACACACCGCCCGUCACACCAUGGGAGUGGGUUGCAAAAGAAGUAGGUAGCUUAACCUUCGGGAGGGCGCUUACCACUUUGUGAUUCAUGACUGGGGUGAAGUCGUAACAGGGUA
rnacentral:rRNA from 1 species